ensembl:lncRNA
ACAUGAGGAAUACUCAAACAGAUAAAACAAACACAUACUUUCUAAGAUUGCAUAAACAGAACCUAUUUUUUUUUUUUUUUUUACUUAUGUCUUCACAGAAGGCUUUAAUACUAAUAUUUGGUUAAACAUGCAGCUGAACACACAUUAAACACAAACUCAUAGGCAUAAUGCUAUACUGUGACGCCAUAUAAGCCUUGUAUCAUGAGAACUUGUAGAAUUAAGAAAAACAGGGAGAUUGAUUUUGCAUAUGCCGACACACUUAUGUCUAUUGAACUUCAGUGUUGUCUCAUGCAAAAUCAAUAAUUAUGCCAGAAACCUCUGCCACCAAUUGUGUUAGUGUACGUGCAUAUGAGAUUGCUGGUGUUUGAUUGUAUAAGUGAAAUUGUUUUGUGUGGAUGUGUAGGAGUGAGAAAAAGACAAAGAGAGAGAGGGUGAGAGGGAGUGAUCCUGUAUCCGUGAUCCUGCUCCUGUGUUGUUCUUCUGGAUUGGAUGUUGUCUGGGCAGACAGCUUGACAAAUGAUACUGUUUGCUUUCAUCGAAUGGAAAAUAGCAGGCUGAACAUUCCUCAGAAUUUCACACAGGUGGGAAACAACAUGAGGUCUGCAGGUUGAAGCAACCCCCAACCCCCGCGCACAUACAAAACAUGAUUUCAACUGAGAAGGAAGGAGGGUUUGAGCUCCCGGAACAAGAUUAUGGAAUACCAAUUGGGCUGGUUUUGUUAAACAAACCUGGCAACCCUAGUUGCCAUAUGGGAAAUGGUGGGUGUUGUCACCUGUAUUAAAACAGAUUAUAGCCUGGGUUUCUCUUAAGGAUGUGCAUAACAAUGUCAAUAAUGCAGUCAAAUGUACAGCAAAGACAUGAAAGAGUGAAUGGAUUAUGUCCUCAAAUAAUUUCUCUUUUCUGUGCUUUCUCAGAAUCUCUCUAUUUCCUCUGUAAGGUGUGUACUGUAUUAUUCUGAUGAGUCCGCGCUCGUCUUAAUUAGCUGGAGCGGAGGCUUAUGAGAGGAAAGAGGCUGCAAAUGCAAUAACGUGGUUUGCUGAGCCGUAACUCGACACUGCCUUAAACUGUGGCAGAGAUGUGGCUGGCUGCUGGUAGAGAAAAGGAGCAUGGGAGCACAGUACCUUAUCCGAAACCUCUUCCUCACUAUUACCUCUCACCCACACAUAAUUGAGGGCUGUGGAGGAUAGUCUACUUUAUUUUACUCCACACGUCUUGGGUGUAUUCUCCUCUGCAGAUAGAUGAAAUGAGGUGGAGAAUGAUCAUUUUGUAGAAGACGAGGUAUUAUUUUAUAUUAGGCAGUCCUAAGUGCUUGGGUAUCUUUAAUUCACUGUGUAUGCCCAUGUUGCUACCUUUUCUGUAAGUGCUCUUUGGUGUUCUUUUACUUCACAGUAUUUUUUUUCUACUUUAGACAGUUUUGCACCACAUUUCCACCGGUCAUGGGGGACACCACUUGGAGUUGCACAAAAAACGUCCGUCACGGAUUGUCUUCCUCCCAAAUUUGAAUUAGUGCCCUGAUUACACUGAGAGGGGUGAGAGGGACACAGAUGGAUUAUGGACGGGAUCUGUAACAGAUGCCGCUGCCAGUUUCAAAUGGAAAAGACAAACAGUUAG